CAGAGUAGGGAACGGCGCGUUAAGUGCCGCCGGAUGGGAAGUUGUCGGCGGACGAAGGGCCAGGCUCGCGGUGCCGUUCCCGCAUCCGCUGC
rnacentral:ncRNA from 1 species